rnacentral:lncRNA from 1 species
CUAAGGCUUGGAGAGAUGAAAGGGGAGCCUGAGCUGCUCUGGGGGCAGGCAUGGCCACUGCCACAGGGGAUGCUGGGAGGGAGGAGGGAGCAUCCGGGCUGCGGAUGGGCAGGGCACCAGUCCCGGGGCAGUACAGAACCUGGGGGUGUCUGGGUAGGAGGGAGAUUCUGAGCUGUACCUGCAAGGGUCCCUCUCUCUGGCACUGUGGCCCACGUCCAGGGCAGGUGGCCCAGGGCAGGGGAUGAUGCAGCGGCUGGCCAUGGAGUGAGGGGAGCAAGGCCGACCCCCAGGUUUCCAGCUUGGGAGACCCUGAAGGUUCACAAAGAACCCCAGUCAGCCAGCCCUGACUGGUGGGCGCUGGCCCACCCUCUCCAUCCCCUGUACAUGGGCCAGCAGCUCCCAGGCAGGAAGGUGUGGGCGGAGGGGAGCUGCAAAGGAGAAGUGGGGCUGGGGGCAGGUGUGGGUGAGCGUGGGUGUAUGGUGAUGUGGGGGUGGGGGCAGGUGUGGGUGAGCGUGGGUGUACGGUACAGGGAUGGGGGACAGGACCCUGGAGGGGAGCCAGGGCAGGGAAGGCCUCUCUGUGAGGCAGAGAGGUGGGGACAAAGCCAGAAGACUGAGCCAUAACCCUGCCACCCACAUACACGUCCAUCCAUGUUGGUGCUGGUAUUACCCAUUAGUGAGGGCUGCAGAGGCCUGACUGAGUACCAGGCAGCUCAUUUAGCCCUUGUGCCAGCCAUGUGGGCAGACUGAGGCUUGUGGGAACCCAGGAACGGGGAACCUGUCCCUGGAGAGGGUGGCCCAGUGAGGCCAGAGAGAGUGGGAGGGCUGGAGCCCACUGUCAGAGUUCCAGGGUCCCUUACCUUGGCCAGAGAGGGAGGCCAGCUGCUAAGAGCAGCAGACACAAAUGAGACACCCACUCAUGUGACACAAAUGUUUGCUGGGCGCUCCCUAUGUGCUGGGCCAGGUGCCGGGACAAAAGGCCUGCGGGAUUCGUGUCUGUGUUGUGUGCAGGUGCCUGGCCUCACAUGAACCUUUCCACUUGGGCCUCCUAAAUGGGGUGGGGGUGGGGGGCUGCAGCAGGCCCUGUGUCGCUACUUGGAUGACAAAACAGUUAAGAAGAAUUCACAAUCAGACCAAUGUGGGG